rnacentral:lncRNA from 1 species
UUAUUGAAUCCCAUUUUUUGUAUUAUCUAAUAUCAUCCAAAAUUACAAAGUUUGGAUGUCUACAAUCCGAGGACAAUGAAGUAAGUUCCCAAAAUUCAUAGCCACUUGAGUAAUUUUCACUGGCUAUUGAUGAACUCCAGUCAAAUAUCCCAAUAAAGUUUGCUGGCAUCGAGCAGAAAAACUAAAAUAUAUAAAUAAACGAAGGACAGACAACCUUAAAAUCCUAUGUUUUCAGAAGAAAAUUUGGAAAAAUAAAAAGUUAGAUGUUAGUCAUGUAUACAUCCUUAACUUUCCAGUCGAUCCAUCGAUCAAAUCUUAUGUUUGAUUCCACACCGUAAAAGUUGAAGCUCCAUGACAACCAGCCGUAUUGUUAGGCCUAGCAGCAAGAGUUGGUACACCAGUAGGAAUCCAAUUGUUACAAGUGGAGGCCUGAUCACAAACACUAGCAGUUUUCACUAUGCCAUUCGAUGAAGGUUGUUGAGAUUGAUAAUAGAAAUUUCUUUCCUGAAGAUAAGGAUCCCCCGACCCCGUUCCAAACAUGUUUUCAUAAUCAAGUGGCUUCACUUCGUCUUGAGCUAACACAGUUCCCAUUGGCACGAAAAAGUUACCCUCGGUUCCAUUCCCGUCCCCUGCUCCAUUGUUGCUGUAAAUGAUUGAAUUCGAUCCCGAACUGUGUUCAAUGGAAGAAGAGUCCAGGCUCAUGAGAUUGUGCAACCCUGAAUGUUGCAAGAAAUUUUGUGCAUUUCCUAGUUGAAGUUGAUGAAGAUCACGAAAACUUUGAUUGACAUCAGUAUCUCGUCUUAGGUGGCUAUAGGGAUAAGAUGUGUGCAUACUCAGUGGCUGAGCUUGCUGGAAAGCAAUGGCUGGCCAGCCGUGAUUUGCGCUAUAGCUAUUAAGUCCAUCGGUAAAAUGUGAACUUGGGUUUUCGUCAAAACUCCUUUGUUUAUCCAGAGCCAUUUCGGCAUCCUUGAGGCGCUUAGCAACACCUCCAAUUGGCAAUGUGCUGCUCUCUAGUAUACUUUUGACAUCAUAUCUGUUUAUUUCAAAAUUAGUUACGGCAUUUAAUCCUCGAAAUUUAAUCGCUGCAAUGUCAUAGGCCUCGGCCGCUUCCUCCUGUGUGCCUGCAGAUUUUAGAGGCUUCAGCCAAAUUAUGAUAUCAAAUUGAACUACCUUAACUAAAAGUUCACGUAGUUGGAGAGAUAAUACAAUUAUUUACUUAGCCUCCGUUAGGCAACUUUGUAAGUCAUU